rnacentral:lncRNA from 1 species
AGCACCAAUACAAUUGCAUAAGUAGUAAAGUGAUCAUGCAGUCAUGAGCUCAAUCUUCCAUAAGCUCUUCACGAAACUCUACAAUGAAGCAGGGUAUCAAGAGCGUGCUCAGUGACCGAGAGUGCAGCUAUUGCAAUAUAUUGGAACCCUGCAGGGGUGUACAACUUUUCCCACACGAGGCACAAGACCAACGACCAUAUCCUUGGCCUAGGAUAAGUGUUGACUCAUGCCCCCGACCGUUCACAUACCUACACCCGACUAUGAACGAACAACCGGAAAUGUAUAGAUGCACUAGACAUGGCCGAUCACACCUCAUCCCAUCCC